AGAAGGAGGAAAGAGUAGAGACUUAGGAGGGAGCAGGUAAAAUCUAAAAAUCUCUUUAGGUAUUUGAGUGGGUUAGUGUCCUAGGCUUUCUAUUGGUGAAGAGAAACCAUGACCAUGGCAACUGUUAUAAAGGAAAACACUUAAUUUGUGGUGGCUUGCUUAUAAUUCAGAGGUUUGGUUCAUUUUUUCAUGUGAAGAAGGAAGGCAGCAUGCAGGCAGACAUGGUGCUAGAGAAGGAGCUGAGAGUUGUUACAUCUUGACUCACAGGCAACAGGAAGUGGUCUGAGACACUGGGCAUGGCUUGACCACAUAUGAUACCUCAUAGCCCAUCUCCAGAGUGAUAAAGUCCUCCAACAAGGCAAAUCUACUCCAACAAAGCCACACUUCCUAAGAGUACUACUCCCUUUGAGGACCAUUUUCUUUCAAACCAACACAGGUAGGGUGUUGUAAAUACUCUUGUCCAAGUUUGAUGGGUCAGACAAGAAAUGGAGUUUAAACAUGGCAGUGUCAACAAAUGAAUGAGCUAAAUAACACUUAUGAAAAUGAAGAGUAAUUUACUAUCUUCAAUAUCUAUCAUUUAGAUGAUAGAUGAUUAAAGCUUAAACUUAUAGGACAGUGGAUAAAAUGUAAGUGUACUAUUUCUGGGUUUGGAAUUAACUUACAUCAAAUUUAAAAUCAUGACUUGUGUUUUCUCUGGGAAUCAUGACCAAUACCAGCAUUUCUAGACAGAGAAGGACUUUGGUGAACUAUUAUUCUUUAUUAUAACCACUAAUUAAUCUAUUUUAACUUUUAAGUCCCAUUCUUAAGAGAAAUAAAAAAAAACUUAUCAGAAGGAAAAUGAAUAGACUAUAACACUAUGAAACUUAAAGAGGAUCUCAAAAUCAAGCUUGAUAAAAAUCACCUCAAACUCAGGGUGUCUGUGUGUGUGUGUGUGCGUGUGUGUGUGUGUGUGUGUGUGUGUGUGUGUGUGUAUUCAGUCACUUCUUCAAAAUCUAGAAAACUAAGUCCUGAGUCCCAGAAUUUUUUUGCAUUCUACGUGUUUUCCUUUUAAAUAGAUUUUAUAUGGAAAGGUUUUAAAUAUAUACUUACUGAAUUUGUAAAAUCCAUCUAUUUCCUUAUAUUUCCCAGAAUGUUCUCAACUUUCCUGUGGGAAAACUGUCCCUCUGAGCUUUCUUAAAAUGUGAAUGUAAAUAUAGAGCCUAAGAACCAUGUGAUUCUUGCGUAAUUAUGCCUAACUGUAGCAUAGUCCUCACACUCACUCAACUCUGACUUUAGGUCAGAAGAAAAAGAAAUCUUAUUAACAAAGUCAUAGUAUAAAAAAGAAUUGGGGGUGGGGCAGGAUGUAAUAAAAGAGGCCAUAAUCAUUCUAAAAAUUAAUUCAAGGGAAACGAUUGUAUACAGGAUAGCACUUCUUAAACUGUUUGUUUGAAUGUCCUACUAACUUUUCUCUGAACAGUUCGCCAAUUGGCACUAAUAUAGCCUUAAGACACUAAUUGUCUGACAGGAUAUAUUAUGGGUGUUAUUUUUUUAGUGAAACCUUGGCAUUUCUUUCUAUUUGGUGUAACACUGCCAGUGUCAAAUGCAAGUAGGCAAUAAGAGACACAGUUGAGAGUGUCUCAGGGUUUAAACAAGAAGGGAGCUGGAUUCUGCUGUAGCUGUUAAGAAUGUGACCUCUGUUGAUAAGAUUUCAGUUUCUUAACCAGGUAAGAUGGGAAUGGAAACUAUUCAUUCAUUACUUUAUCUUUAGAGCAAUAUUGAGUCACAGAAAAUUGAGGAAGGUGGCUGAUAUUCCCCAUGUCCUCCCAGUCUACAUAUGUGGUCUUUCUAUAAUUUCUUUGCUAUAAGGUACAUCUGUUCUAAUUGAUGGAGCUUAAUGGCCAUUAUGCUCAUUUAAAUUCCAAAGUUCCUGCUGUUGGAUGUAUGUUCUAUAGGCUGAACUGAUGUGUAACUAAAUGGUCACAUCAUUGUAGUGCCACACAGAGGGCUUUUGCUGCCCUGCAAAAUACUCUGUGACGAACCUCAUCCCUCCCUUUCUUCCCGCUAACAGUCACCAGACUUUUUACCAUAACCCUCAACUUCCUUUUUCCAGAAUAUCAUCAAUUUGAGGUGCACUGCAUGCAACCUUUUAGUUUGGCAUUUUAAUGAAUAAUCUGGUUUAAAACUUUCUCUUUGUCACAAAUAAGGAUAAACUUUAUUAAUACAAUUUAUCUGAAAAUAUUCUCUAGUUUCCAAAACCUGAUAGCAUGCAUUUCUUUUAAUGCUGCAUAAUAUUAUUUGAACAUAUGGCUAUAUAUACAGAUACACAUAUUCAUAUAAAUAUGGCAUAUGUAUGUCUUGUGUGUUGGUGUGUUGGUGAGUAUUGUGUGUGUUAUAUGUGCGCCAUUUAUCCAGCAAAUGGCAAAUGGCAUCAUCUUGGUUGUUUGUAGGUUUUGAAAAUUACGGCAAAAGCUUCUAUAAGCAUCUGUGUUCAGAUUUCUGUAUAGACAUAGGCUUUCAGCUUAUUUGUAAGGAUACCAAGGAGCACAGCUGUUGAAUUAUUUACUAAGAAUAUAUUUAUUUUCUUAAAAGAAGCCUCAAGCUUUCCAAAACAUAGGUAUUUUAGCAAUCCUAACUGAAUUGUGCUUUUGUUCCUUCUUUGUCUCUAGUGUCAGAAACUACAUUUUACUCCUGCAGUAGGUGUGCAAUGGUAACUAAGUGUUCUGCCUUUCCUGGUGACAGAGUAUUGAAUUGGUAGUCUGUUUUCCUAUUGUUGAAUUUUGAGAGUUCCUUCUAUAUUUUGCACAACAGUCAUUUACUGGCAUUUGUUUCCCAAACAUUCCUUCUAUUCUGUGGCUUGUCACCAUUUUCUUUUGUCUUUACACUGCCUUUGCAUGGUAGAAGCUGUAAUUUCCAGCUCAUCUAUUAUUUCUUUUCUGCUAUUUCAUGGAUUGUGCCUUCGGUGUUGAAGACCUCAAAAUUCACAAGGCAG
ensembl:lncRNA